CGUGUUCAUCUUGGCACUGAACGAUGUAAGAAGAACUUUCCAUUUUAAACGAGAUACGUACAUAAAAACAUAUGUAUGUACAUCGUAAUCUAUCUUCUUAUGUACCUUACCGUACCUAUCGUCCUACAUCUUGUCUUCUUCCGUUGUUUUCCGUAAAAAAAGGCGUAUGAACGUUUCCCGCGGGACUUGGAUCCAGAAUACACGUCAUGCGAACAUUCCUUUUGCAAAAUAAAUUUUCUUUCCUUGAGAAACGACGAAGUAGAAGGUUAUUUCGUGUAGGAGAGUCUAACCUUUUUUUAAAUUUAACUACAACAGCGCGACGAUUUACUACGUCUGGCAUAACUAUUUCAAGUUUCUCUCUCUACAAGAGAACCAACCAAUCUCUUGUUCCCUCUCUCUCUCUCUCUCUCUCAUUCUCACUUCCCCCCCUCCGAGUCUCCCACCACUCAUCACCAUUUACCCCCUACCUCUUCGAUAAGGAUACAAAAUAUAUAUCACGUCUCCAUCUCCAUUGUUUUUAGUUUCACCGCAUUAUUCGAUUGAUUAUAUCCGUGAUAGAAGUAAACAAUUUAAGAAGAAGGAUGGGCAAUAGGUCAUAAAAUACGUACAACUAAACUUUAAAACGAAUGCGAAUGUCUCCUUGGAGAGUACUUAUCACGGAAUGCAAACGGACCAAGUACUACGAGCUUUCGACGAACAUCGACAAGAUCGGCAAAA